GUGCCAGCAGCCGCGGUAAUACGUAGGGGGCAAGCGUUGUCCGGAAUUAUUGGGCGUAAAGGGCACGCAGGCGGUUUCGUCAGUCCGAUGUGACAGGCCGCCGCUCAACCGUGGAAGGCCACUGGAAACUGCGAGACUUGAGGACAGAAGAGGAGAGUGGAAUUCCACGUGUAGCGGUGAAAUGCGUUGAUAUGUGGAGGAACACCAGUGGCGAAGGCGACUCUCUGGUCUGUACCUGACGCUGAGGUGCGAAAGCAUGGGGAGCAAACAGGAUUAGAAACCCCAGUAGUCC
rnacentral:rRNA from 1 species